rfam:Lottia gigantea unplaced genomic scaffold LOTGIsca_22, whole genome shotgun sequence.
GCCCAACUGAGCUUCAGGGGUCUGGGGUGCAGGCUUCAAACCUGUAGCUGAUUAACGUCAGACUGGUUCGACUCCACCUGGUGGGC